GGGUGAAGUAGUAUACCUAUAUGACUGUUGCCUGUGGGGUAGUCUGACUGACAGGUGAGAAGGAAGUUAGGUUACUGCCAAAGUUAUUGGAAGGGACAUGGAACUAUAUCGUGAGUUGGUCAGAGGGAUCAAUCACAAGAAGAAGAAGGGCACCCCAGAUCCAGAGCAGCUGUCAGCAGGAGGUGAUAGGUACCACACUCAGUUCACCUUUGAAUCUUCUGCGGCUAAAUCUCCCAAAGUGCAAGAGGUACCAAUGGAAUAUAUCAAAUCUGAAACUGAGCGGUGGCAAUGGCACUGGAGACAUGUUGAGUCCUGUCUGAAGCGCUCUGCAGUGAUGCUGAAUGACUAGUAAUUUGGUACCUUCAUUUUUGUUUCUCAUAUUUUAAAUUUUUUUGGUAGCUCUAUAAUAAAUAAAACAAUAA